AGUAACUGCGAGUGAAGCGGGAAAAGCUCAAAUUUAAAAUCUGGUGGCCUCUGGUCAUCCGAGUUGUAAUUUAGAGAAGCGUCUUCCGCGCUGGACCGUGCACAAGUCUCCUGGAAUGGAGCGUCGUAGAGGGUGAGAAUCCCGUCUUUGGCACGGAUCCCGGGGCUUUUGUGAUGCGCUCUCGAAGAGUCGAGUUGUUUGGGAAUGCAGCUCAAAAUGGGUGGUGAACUCCAUCUAAAGCUAAAUAUUGGCGAGAGACCGAUAGCGAACAAGUACCGUGAGGGAAAGAUGAAAAGCACUUUGGAAAGAGAGUGAAACAGUACGUGAAAUUGUUGAAAGGGAAACGCUUGAAGUCAGUCGCGUCGUCCGAGACUCAGCCUCGCCUCGGCUUGGUGUACUUCUCGCUCGACGGGUCAGCAUCAAUUUUGCCCCUUGGAUAAUGGCAAGGGAAACGUGGCACCUUUGCGGGUGCGUUAUAGUCCCUCGUCGCAUGCAAGGGUCGGGAUUGAGGAACUCANCACGCGCCUCUCGGCGUCGGGGCAAUUUUGCCCACGAUACGUGCUUAGGAUGUUGGCGUAAUGGCUUUAAACGACCCGUCUUGAAACACGGACCAAGGAGUCUAACAUGCCCGCGAGUGUUCGGGUGGAAAACCCGUGCGCGCAAUGAAAGUGAAAGUUGGGACCUCUGUCGUGGAGGGCACCGACGCCCGGACCAGACCUUCUGUGACGGAUCUGCGGUGGAGCGUGUAUGUUAGGACCCGAAAGAUGGUGAACUAUGCCUGAAUAGGGUGAAGCCAGAGGAAACUCUGGUGGAGGCUCGUAGCGAUUCUGACGUGCAAAUCGAUCGUCAAAUUUGGGUAUAGGGGCGAAAGACUAAUCGAACCAU
rnacentral:rRNA from 1 species